rnacentral:tRNA from 1 species
GCAGUGGUGGUUCGGUGGUAGAAUUCUUACCUUCCAUACCAGAGACCUGGGUUCGAUUCCUGGCCAACGCA